UCUGCAGCCAAGGGUAAGACUGUUCGUCUAUUAAAGGAGAUCGUGAGCUGGGUUUAGACCGUCGUGAGACAGGUCGGUUGCUAUCUAUUGGGGGUGCUGGAGGUCUGAGGGGAAGCUGCUUUUAGUACGAGAGGAACAAAGCAGCGGCGCCUCUGGUGUACCGGUUGUCCGACAGGGCAUUGCCGGGCAGCUACGCGCUGGUGGAUAAGAGCUGAAAGCAUCUAAGCUCGAAGCCAUCCCCAAAAAGAGACUUCCUUAAGGGCAUCAUUAGAAGAAUGGUUUGAUAGGGCUGGGGUGUAAGACUCAAGGUGAUAAACCGAGAUUUUUAGCCCGCAGCUACUAACGUCCGCACCAAUCAUCUC
rnacentral:rRNA from 1 species